rnacentral:rRNA from 1 species
UCGAGAAUAAUUCGCAAUGGGCGAAAGCCUGACGAUGCGACGCCGUGUGAACGAUGAAGGCCUUCGGGUUGUAAAGUUCUGUCGCCUGCGAACAAGGUUGCACUCUGAAUAAUAGUGUAACUUGAGUGUAGUAGGAAAGGAAGCACCGGCUAACUCCGUGCCAGCAGCUGCGGUAAUACGGAGGGUGCAAGCGUUAGUCGGAAUUACUGGGCGUAAAGGGUGCGUAGGUGGGAAUGUAAGUUAGAUGUGAAAUACCGUUGCUCAACAACGGCCGUGCAUCUAAAACUGCGUUUCUAGAGGGAAAGCGGAGAAAACGGAAUUCCAUGUGUAGCGGCGAAAUGCGUAGAUAUAUGGAAGAACACCUGUGGCGAAAGCGGUUUUCUAGCUAACCCCUGACACUGAGGCACGAAAGCAAGGGGAGCAAACAGGAUUAGAUACCCACGUAGUCCCUGAGCGGGCUGGCAAGGCGCAU